rnacentral:rRNA from 1 species
UACGUAGGGCGCAAGCGUUGUCCGGAAUUAUUGGGCGUAAAGAGCUCGUAGGCGGCCUGUUGCGUCCGCUGUGAAAUCCCGGGGCUUAACCCCGGGUCGGCAGUGGAUACGGGCAGGCUAGAGGUAGGUAGGGGAGAAUGGAAUUCCCGGUGUAGCGGUGAAAUGCGCAGAUAUCAGGAGGAACACCGGUGGCGAAGGCGGGUCUCUGGGCCGAUACUGACGCUGAGGAGCGAAAGCGUGGGGAGCGAACAGG